AUUGAACGCUGGCGGCAGGCCUAACACAUGCAAGUCGAACGGUAACAGGAAACAGCUUGCUGUUUCGCUGACGAGUGGCGGACGGGUGAGUAAUGUCUGGGAAACUGCCUGAUGGAGGGGGAUAACUACUGGAAACGGUAGCUAAUACCGCAUAACGUCGCAAGACCAAAGAGGGGGACCCUCGGGCCUCUUGCCAUCGGAUGUGCCCAGAUGGGAUUAGCUUGUUGGUGGGGUAACGGCUCACCAAGGCGACGAUCCCUAGCUGGUCUGAGAGGAUGACCAGCCACACUGGAACUGAGACACGGUCCAGACUCCUACGGGAGGCAGCAGUGGGGAAUAUUGCACAAUGGGCGCAAGCCUGAUGCAGCCAUGCCGCGUGUACGAAGAAGGCCUUCGGGUUGUAAAGUACUUUCAGCGGGGAGGAAGGGAGUAAAGUUAAUACCUUUGCUCAUUGACGUUACCCGCAGAAGAAGCACCGGCUAACUCCGUG
rnacentral:rRNA from 1 species